GAGGCUGCGUCGCCCAGUCGGCCGUGGUGUUACCUCAUGCAGGUCGAGCGCGCCCCCGCGGCGCGCGUCAGUCACGCAUCAGACCUCUAAUCGGAAAAGACUACCCGCUGAGUUUAA
rnacentral:rRNA from 1 species